UCUGAUAGCUUGUAACCAACGACGU
rnacentral:miRNA from 1 species